ensembl:lncRNA ITGA9-AS1 ITGA9 antisense RNA 1
GCAUAAGAAACCAAAAGACACACCUGCUCCAUGCCAGGUCUGUUCUGAAAAAUUGAGAAGAUGAUCUAUCUUCACUUCAAAAAGAAAUCUCUAAGGAGCAAGUGGACACAGCCUGCCUCCCAUAAGCUGUCUGGCUCACUCAUUUUAUUCCUGGAAAUCAGAAGUCAAUCAUUUCCUGAGAAAUGAGGAAAAAGAUGGAGGUCACAGAGACCAGUAAGAGCAAGGAGGGAGAGGAAAAAGCUGAACAUGAAACUCGAGGAAGAAACAGAAUAUGCAGAGGAAUAAAAAAAAUUCACUCAAGUCUUGCGGCUCUGGGAAACGUCCUUCUUAAUUGAUCCUUGUCGUAACUACAGCUCUGUUGACAUUUCUAAAGCAAAACAUAGCCUUCCUUCCAAACGCAGUGAAUACACAAAUGAAGCUUUUCAUAUACGUGAAAGCUGAGCCCCGCGGCGGAAUACUGAAGCCGCCUUGUGAUUUGAAAUGGACAUCUGCGUUUCUCCACCACUUCCUCACUGCCGACUG